UUGAUUCACUGGUUAAAAAGAUAUUUGAGGAUAAGUUGCGCCACAAAUGUUUGACCUCACUAUAGGCCACAAAGUGGAACCGACGUACCGCGGCCCCGGUCAACUUGACUCCGUUUGUCUUUAUAUGCUCUCAACCAACUUUUUGUUUUUUUCUUUGUUGAAGGACUUCGGAGCCAGUGUGAGUGACUACUUCUUUUCCUUGUUGGAGUUGUGAAGUAAAGUUCCAGUUCGUUUAGAAGCAGCUUGGUCUAGUGCUGUAUCGAGUUGAUUUAAAAUGGAUGUGUCCGGAAAGGUUUUCUUCAUCACUGGAGGGGCUCAUGGGUUAGGCAAAGCGUAUGCUGAGACGUUGCUGGCCAAAGGAGCGAAGAUUUUCCUCUGCGAUGUGGACCCUAAGGCUGGAGCUGAAACUUUAGAAGAUUUCCAAAAACGUUUUGGGGAGCAAAAUGUCAAAUUCACAGCUUUUGAUGUAACAGAUAUGGGAAAAUUCGAAG